rnacentral:rRNA from 1 species
CGAAAGCCUGACGGAGCAACGCCGCGUGAGGGAUGAAGGCCUCUGGGCUGUAAACCUCUUUUCUCAAGGAAGAAGACAUGACGGUACUUGAGGAAUAAGCCACGGCUAAUUCCGUGCCAGCAGCCGCGGUAAUACGGGAGUGGCAAGCGUUAUCCGGAAUUAUUGGGCGUAAAGCGUCCGCAGGCGGCCUUGUAAGUCUGUCGUUAAAGCGUGGAGCUCAACUCCAUUUCAGCGAUGGAAACUACAAGGCUUGAGUGUGGUAGGGGCAGAGGGAAUUCCCGGUGUAGCGGUGAAAUGCGUAGAUAUCGGGAAGAACACCAGUGGCGAAGGCGCUCUGCUGGGCCAUAACUGACGCUCAUGGACGAAAGCCAGGGGAGCGAAAGGGAUUAGAUACCCCUGUAGUCCUGGCCGUAAACGAUGAACACUAGGUGUCGGGGGAAUCGACCCCCUCGGUGUCGUAGCUAACGCGUUAAGUGUUCCGCCUGGGGAGUACGCACGCAAGUGUGAAACUCAAAGGAAUUGACGGGGGCCCGCACAAGCGGUGGAGUAUGUGGUUUAAUUCGAUGCAACGCGAAGAACCUUACCAGGGUUUGACAUCCUGCGAAUCCCUUGGAAACGGGGGAGUGCCUUCGGGAGCGCAGAGACAGGUGGGCAUGGC